GCAGCCGCGGUAAUACGUAGGGGGCAAGCGUUAUCCGGAUUUACUGGGUGUAAAGGGAGCGUAGACGGUUUAGCAAGUCUGAAGUGAAAGCCCGGGGCUCAACCCCGGGACUGCUUUGGAAACUGUUGAACUAGAGUGCAGGAGAGGUAAGCGGAAUUCCUAGUGUAGCGGUGAAAUGCGUAGAUAUUAGGAGGAACACCAGUGGCGAAGGCGGCUUACUGGACUGUAACUGACGUUGAGGCUCGAAAGCGUGGGGAGCAAACAGGAUUAGAUACCCC
rnacentral:rRNA from 1 species